GAUGAACGCUGGCUACAGGCUUAACACAUGCAAGUCGAGGGGAAACGACGGGGAAGCUUGCUUCCCCGGGCGUCGACCGGCGCACGGGUGAGUAACGCGUAUCCAACCUGCCUCUGACUGAGGGAUAACCCGUCGAAAGUCGGCCUAAUACCUCAUGGUAUCGUCUGCGGGCAUCCAACGACGAUUAAAGAUUUCAUCGGUCAGGGAUGGGGAUGCGUCUGAUUAGCUUGUUGGCGGGGUAACGGCCCACCAAGGCUACGAUCAGUAGGGGUUCCGAGAGGAAGGUCCCCCACAUUGGAACUGAGACACGGUCCAAACUCCUACGGGAGGCAGCAGUGAGGAAUAUUGGUCAAUGGGCGAGAGCCUGAACCAGCCAAGUAGCGUGCAGGAAGACGGCCCUAUGGGUUGUAAACUGCUUUUAUGCGGGGAUAAAGUGAGGGACGUGUCCCUCAUUGCAGGUACCGCAUGAAUAAGGACCGGCUAAUUCCGUG
rnacentral:rRNA from 1 species